UACAGAGGGGGCAAGCGUUGUUCGGAAUUACUGGGCGUAAAGGGCUCGUAGGUGGCCAACUAAGUCAGACGUGAAAUCCCUCGGCUUAACCGGGGAACUGCGUCUGAUACUGGAUGGCUUGAGUUUGGGAGAGGGACGCGGAAUUCCUGGUGUAGCAGUGAAAUGCGUAGAUAUCAGGAGGAAUACCGAUGGCGAAGGCGGGUCUCUGGGCCGACACUGACGCUCAUGCACGAAAGCGUGGGGAGCAAACAGG
rnacentral:rRNA from 1 species